GACGUAGGGCGCGAGCGUUGUCCGGAUUUAUUGGGCGUAAAGAGCGUGUAGGCGGCUUGGUAGGUCCGCUGUGAAAACUCGAGGCUCAACCUCGAGAUGUCGGCGGAAACCACUUGGCUAGAGUCCGGAAGAGGAGAGUGGAAUUCCUGGUGUAGCGGUGAAAUGCGCAGAUAAUCAGGAGGAACACCGGUGGCGAAGGCGGAUCUCUGGGCCUUGCCUGACGCUGAGGCGCGAAAGCUAGGGGAGCGAACAGG
rnacentral:rRNA from 1 species